rnacentral:misc_RNA from 1 species
GGCAGUUCCAACUUUUAGAGUGGGGUAUACUAUUACUACUAAUGCCCUUGAUGCUCUCUACAAGAAGGUCAAGUCGAAAGGAGUGACAAUGACAGCAUUGUUGGCAAAAGCCACAGCACUUGCAUUGGUGCAACAUCCUGUUGUGAACUCUAGUUGUAGAGAUGGGAAGAGUUUCACAUAUAACAGUAGUAUUAACAUUGCUGUUGCAGUCGCCAUAGAUGGUGGCUUGAUUACUCCUGUACUUCAGGAUGCUGACAAGGUUGAUUUAUACUCAUUGUCAAGGAAAUGGAAGGAGUUGGUUGAUAAGGCCCGGGCUAAGCAACUUCAACCCCAUGAAUACACCACAGGCACUUUUACCCUAUCCAACCUUGGAAUGUUUGGCGUUGACCGUUUUGAUGCCAUCUUACCACCAGGAACUGGUGCAAUUAUGGCUGUUGGAGCAUCUCAACCCACACUUGUUGGAACCAAAGAUGGUCGAAUUGGCAUGAAAAACCAAAUGCAGGUCAAUGUCACUGCUGAUCAUCGGGUAAUAUAUGGUGCUGAUUUGGCGGCUUUCCUGCAAACCUUAGCACAGAUAAUUGAGGAUCCUAAAGACCUUACUCUUUAGGCUCUUGUCCUCAAUUGUGGGAGAUUAGAUGUUUUGUAGUGUAAUUUGCUCGAGUUUCAGCCAGGAGCUUCAUGGAGUGAACAGAAACCAUAUGCUAUAACAUCUGAAGCAUCAUCUAAGUCGCACUUCAGAAGAUGAAUGUUUAUGGAUGGUUAGGUCAUUUUUUCGCGUGGUUAAUCUUUUCUUUUUAUUGGAGUGUAAACUCAUGAGGACAUUUUUCAUGGCUGCCAUAAAAUUAUGGCCUCAAGAUGAGCUCUUUGUU